UACGUAGGUGGCAAGCGUUGUCCGGAUUUACUGGGCGUAAAGAGCGCGCAGGCGGUCGUUCAAGUCGCGUGUGAAAGCCCCCGGCUCAACUGGGGAGGGUCAUUCGAUACUGAUCGACUCGAAGGCAGGAGAGGGUAGUGGAAUUCCCGGUGUAGUGGUGAAAUGCGUAGAUAUCGGGAGGAACACCGGUGGCGAAGGCGCUCUGCUAGGCCGCAACUGACACUGAGGGACGAAAGCUAGGGGAGCGAAUGGG
rnacentral:rRNA from 1 species